CCUACGGGAGGCAGCAGUGAGGAAUAUUGGUCAAUGGGCGCGAGCCUGAACCAGCCAAGUAGCGUGAAGGAUGACGGUCCUACGGGUUGUAAACUUCUUUUAUCAGGGAAUAAAGUGCGGCACGUGUGCCUUUUUGUAUGUACCUUAUGAAUAAGCAUCGGCUAACUCCGUGCCAGCAGCCGCGGUAAUACGGAGGAUCCGAGCGUUAUCCGGAUUUAUUGGGUUUAAAGGGAGCGUAGGUGGGUUGUUAAGUCAGUGGUGAAAGUUUGGGGCUCAACCCUAAAAUGGCCGUUGAUACUGGCAGUCUUGAGUGCAGUUGAGGUAGGCGGAAUGCGUGGUGUAGCGGUGAAAUGCAUAGAUAUCACGAAGAACUCCGAUUGCGAAGGCAGCAUACUAAACUGCCACUGACAUUGAUGCACGAAAGUGUGGGUAUCAAACAGGAUUAGAUACCCGAGUAGUC
rnacentral:rRNA from 1 species